rnacentral:rRNA from 1 species
GACGAACGCUGGCGGCGUGCCUAACACAUGCAAGUCGAGCGGAGACAUAUUGAGGAAGUUUUCGGAUGGAAUUGGUAUGUUUUAGCGGCGGACGGGUGAGUAACGCGUGAGCAACCUUUCCUUGACAGGGGGAGUAAGAUCUCGAAAGGGGUUCGUAAUACCGCAUAGGACCACAGUGUCACAUGACACAGGGGUGAAAGGAGCAAUCCAGUCAAGGGUGGGCUCGCGUCUGAUUAGAUAGUUGGUGAGGUAACGGCCCACCAAGUCAACGAUCAGUAGCCGACCUGAGAGGGUGAUCGGCCACAUUGGGACUGAGACACGGCCCAA